UACGAAGGGGGCUAGCGUUGCUCGGAAUUACUGGGCGUAAAGCGCACGUAGGUGGUUUGUUAAGCCAGCUGUGAAAUCCCCGGGCUCAACCUGGGCACUGCAGUUGGAACUGGCAAGCUAGAGUAGGGUAGAGGGGUGUGGAAUUCCAGGUGUAGCGGUGAAAUGCGUAGAUAUCUGGAGGAACAUCAGUGGCGAAGGCGACACCCUGGACUCAUACUGACACUGAGGUGCGAAAGCGUGGGGAGCAAACAGG
rnacentral:rRNA from 1 species